GUGCUAGUGAAACUGCCCUCAGAGCAGAAAUAAACUGUUGGCUCUCAAGUUUUUCCAGACUAACCGGACUGGCCAAUGCCUGAGGCUCUGUGUUCAAGAUAAAAGUGCCUAAGAAAGAAAAGUGCAGGUAGGCAGUCCCCACUUCUGCAGGGCUGGUGGGCUCUGGGGAUCCUGUCUCAGCCUGCUGAACAGCCCAGAGUGGCUUUAAAAAAAAAAAAAAAGCCUGAACAACCUUUUUUUGCACAUGGGUCACAGUCAAGCUUCUUAAACUUGGAUGACAGUAAACCUAUGACUAACUGGAUAAUUAAAGCCACAAGUCUGGAGGCCUGGGCAGGGCUCUGCUCUGGAAUCUCCGGUGGCCUGUUCCAUAGGCCAGCGUCCCUUGUCCUUCCCAUAGCAGAAAUGCUUUCGUGAGUUGGAAACCCUCUGUGGUGACCUCUACAUCUUCUCAAGGAGAAAGAAUUGUGCCAUGAAAAAUGGAAAACUCCUGAGAAGCUGUUCCAGCGUCAGGAGAGCAGCAGACAAGCUGGACUGGGGAAGAUUCUUCCUGCAAGACCUGCAGAGUGUAUGACACAUAACCAGCACCCAAGAAAUGUCUACCGAGGAAUUAAUGAAUGAGCCAUCUUGUGAUCAUCUGGCAAGACAGCCCAAGAAUAAAGCCGUCACCAUGGAGACUAAGAAGAGACAGAAAGACACUGGGUCUUCAUUGUCUCGUCCAGCUGUUCAUGAGGCCUUAUCUGAAGCCCACGUGACCUCCGGACUACUCACUUACAUGAGAGAAUAAAGCUCUUUUUUGUUUAGACCAAAUAAAUACAUAAUACAAUUACAUAA
rnacentral:lncRNA from 1 species